rfam:Opisthocomus hoazin contig50590, whole genome shotgun sequence.
CACUCUUACAUUCCUCAAAAGUAGAAAGACAGCCUGGGAAUCAGCAGGACCACUCUGUGACAAAGGUGUAAAAUGGACACUCAGGGAUAAUGAGGCUGUGCCAGACAAAACAGUAACUGCAUCACUCUCUCUCCUCCUGAAAGUACUGGAGACGUGUACUCUGCAGUAGAGACUGGUCAGAGAAGCAAGGUCAGUUCAACUUACAUCGGACAAAUGUGAUUAAACCCCAGGAUUGAAUGGCACCACUACUGACACAGCAGUCUUUGGUUGGGUUUGGGGGAGCUGGGGACGAGUUUGGGGUCCGUGGCGAUGUCGGCUACCCACCCGACCCAUCUUGAAACACAGACCAAGGAGUCUAGCACGUGCGCGAGUCAGGGGCCUGUCCCGAAAGCCCGCGGCGCAAUGGAGGUGAGGGCUGGUGUGCACCGGCUGAGGUGGGAUCCCGGGGCGCGGUCGAGCGAGAAGCCCCGGGCGCACCACUGACACGUCUUCCCUGCGCCACCUGGCCGGGGAGGUGGAGCGUGAGCGUCCAUGCUAGGACCCGAAAGAUGGUGAAUUAUGCCUGGACAGGGUGAAGCCAGAGGAAACUCUGGUGGAAGUCUGUAGCGGUCCUGACGUGCAAAUCGAUUGUCCAACCCAAGUCUAGGGGCGAAAGUCUAAUUGAACCAUCUAGUAGCUGGUUCCCUCCGAAGUUUCCCUCAGGAUAGCUGGCACUCGGCCGUGGGCAGUUUUACCCGGUAAAGUGAAUGAUUAGAGGUCUUGGGGCCAAAACGAUCUCAACCUAUUCUCAAGCUUUCAAUGGGUAAGGGGGUUGGCUCGCUGGCAUGGAGCUGUGACGUGGAAUGGGAGUGCUCAGUGGGCCACUUUUGGUAAGCAGAACAGGAGCUGCGGGAUGAACCGAAUGCCAGGUUAAGGUGCCCAAUCAGAACCCAGAAAAGGUGUUGGUUGAUCUAGUCAGCAGGAUGGUGGCCAUGGAAGUCAGAAUCUGCUAAGGAGUGUGUAACAUCUCACCUGCCAAAUCAACUAGUCCUGAAAAUGGAUGGCGCUGGAGCGUCGGGCCCAUACCCGGCCAUCGCUGGCAGUGCGAGGCCCGCGGGGUCUAGGCCGCGACGAGUAGGAGGGCCACUGCGGUGCGCCUCGAAGCCUGGGCCAGAAUCACAGAAUGGCAGGGG